AACGAACGUUGGCGGCGUGGAUGAGGCAUGCAAGUCGAACGCGAAAGCCGCAAGGUGAGUAGAGUGGCGGACGGGCGAGUAACACGUAAUCAAGCUGCCUGCGAGACGGGGAUAACCUCGGGAAACCGAAGCUAAGACCCGAUGGUUUGCGAGGACCGCAUGGUCCAUGCAAUAAAUGGGCGGGAUCCUUCGGGAUCGCCUGCUCGCAGAGGUGAUUGCGGCCCAUCAGCUAGUUGGUAGGGUAACGGCCUACCAAGGCAACGACGGGUAGCCGGCCUUAGAGGGUGUCGGCCGNAACUGGGACUGAGACACUGCCCAGACUCCUACGGGAGGCUGCAGUCGAGAAUCUUCCGCAAUGGG
rnacentral:rRNA from 1 species